AGUGAGCUCUAGGCUCCUCAAGGCUACAGAGCAAGAUCACAUCUCAAAAGACACAAAAAAUAAACCACAGUAAUCCUUUGCGUUUGCUGUCUUGCUUUAUAACUGCAUUGUCUGAUAUGAGCGUAUUUGUAACUGCAGGUAACAGAACACUGAAAAUUAGAGUCCUUGGAGAAAUAGCAGCCACCUAACUCAGUUAGCCAAUGAGAGCAUGUAACAAGGGUACCAAGUCAACUGGGGCAGGACUGGCCUUCACCUUCAACACCACUCAGUGUUCGUAUCUCUCACUGCGCAACGAGUUUUGUUUGGUUUUUCAUUUAAGAAAAGCAGACUUGAGGGACCUGGGGAAACAGCUCAGUAUGUAAAGUGCUUGCACGAUCCCCUGCACCCCCAUAAGAGCUAAGUGCAGUGCUGCGCCUGUGAUCCCAGGACUGGGGAUGAAGAGGCAGCGGGAUCAUUGGGGCUUGUUCCCAAGGUCUGUCAAAAAUGGAGCUCCAGAUUCACUGAGAGGCCCUCUCUCUAAAAAGUAAGGAGGAUGGAGCUGAAGGUUUUGAGCAUCAGCUGCUCAUCCAGAGGACCUGGGUCCAAGUCCCAGCAUCCAACAUGGAUGCUCACAACCAUCUGUAAUUCUAGUUCUUGGAGAUCCAAUGUCCUCUCCUGGCCUUCAGGGUCAUCAGGAAUGUAUGUGAUGCAAAGACACUCGAGCAUGCAAAACACCCAUAUAUAUAACAAUAAGUGUGUGUGUGUGUAUGUGUGUGUGUGUGUGUGUGUGUGUGUUUUAAUGAGGAAAGUAGUUGAAGAAGAUGCUCAGUGUCACUCUCAGCUCCCCAGGCACUAACACAUAUGCAGAGGGACACACACCUGUGCUUGCACACAGAGAAGUAGAUCUGAAUAUAUGAGUGCCCACCGGUGGCCAGCCAGGGAUGCUCUCUGCAGCCACACCUCAGUACAAUGAUCACAGCAUGGGACAUGGAUGCCACUGGGGUCCAUUCUGAAGGACAGCUCUGUUUCCUGCCUCUGGCCAGCAUCUGUGGUCAGGCAAAGCUACGAGGAAAUACAAUGAAGGUCAGUUUAACAAAGACCCCAGUGUGGGUGAAAUUUAACACCACAGGAGACAGACUGUGGGAGGAGGAAGAGGAGCCCAGAGCCCCAGGCUCUGUGGAAGAAAUGGGGAAGGGUCAGAGAGGGAACUGGAAAGAAGCCUGAUCCCACUGCAACCUCUACAGCCAGACUGCUGGAGACUUCCGAAAAUGAGGCACACCAGGCACAGACAGUGAGAUUACAGUGCCCUGACAUUUUACCCGCUUGGCUAGGCCGGGCCCAUUGUGCCGAUGUUCCUGCUUCUAGUCGCUUUCAGGCACAGCCCACAGCAGCACAUUGCUCUGUGCCUUGCAUCAUGGGCCUCUCACCGUCUGCCCCGGGGCUUCCCUGUUGUGGAAGAUCAAGGCGCCGUGGGACCCACUACCUAAGCAGAUGAUGAGCCAGGCACCUGGACCCGCAGCAGAACAAGACCAUCAUGCCACCUGACUGCUCAAGUCCUUCCAGAGAGCAGGGCUGAAAAUCACUUGAGCCAGGCUCGUAUUGCUCCUGCAUCCCACAGGCUGAGUUCCAAGGGAAGUGGUCCUCUCCUGUCCUGAGUGGUCAUCUCUUGUCCUGAGUGGUCAUCUCCUGUCCUGAGUGGUCAUCUCCUGUCCUGCUCACCUGCUCUGUGACUAACUAAGAUGAAGGAGACUUCAUUGGUCAGUUCCCUGCUGAGUCUCAAAGCCAAGACAAGCAAUUACGGUGCAUAUUUAACAUAUCAAAGUGGACCUGGCUGCCAUGUUGUCCCAGCAUCCCUCAGUCCCUAUCUGUUAACAGGGUGUAGCUGGCAUACACUGCCCUCUACCCUGAACUCUUCAGCCCAGGCUCUGGGCUGCCCUUCCCCCGAGAGGCUCUUCCCUACAUAAUCCAGCUAUUUUGGUACCUGCCCCUUUUGUAUCUGUGGCCUCUUAGAUGCUGUUCCUGUUCCUCUCUCACCUCCCCCACCCCAGCCUCUUCCUUUCUCCUUACAAGGUUCAGGGCCAUGAUCCCUCCCAGAUGUGUCUGCCUCUGGCAAUGCUCUCUCUUUAUCUACAAUAAACUUUCUCCUCUGCCAUAUCUGGGAACAGUCAGUCAUGUCCUUUCCCUUUUUCUUUCUCUCUCUCUUUCUCUUUUCUUUCCUUUUCCUUUUUUCUUUUUUCAUGUGUUACCUUCUUGGGUUUGAUGUCAGGUUUGAAUUGACCCAGAGGGGGGCUGUGAGUCUCAGCUUCUUUUGCAUCUCUUAGGUACAACGAACCUGAAAGAGCUCACUGUUGUAGAGGAAUGUGUCACCCAUUUCCUUGAUGUACUGAGGGGUAAACUGAAGUGCAAACCUCAGCUUGCUGUCAACUCUCAAACCCUGGCUCUUGGCUAAUAGUAUAGCAAGUUAUUGUGGGGUUUGUGAAACAUGAUGUGAGCACCGACUGGCUCACGCCAUCCGCCAAAUCAUCACUGGUCUUCCCAGGUUGGGAACCUCUAGAGGAGAGCUGUAUGGUCAUGGUUUAGAGGCAGCGCUGAGCUCUCUGUCCUGAGCUUCACAUGGUAUCCUGCCAGGAAGGAAGUGUUAAUGGCCCUGGGGUUCACUAAGACUGCAAAGCCAGGCCAUUUGCAUGUGAUGAGUGUGUACCUCCGCUGGGGCCUUAUCACCUGGUUCCAAGCUCAGUGCUCUUUACUCUGGACUAUGAUCCCCCUUUCCUGGAUGUCACAGCCCUUGUGGGAAGAAAAAGUGGGAAGCAGAAGGGUAAAGGCAGAAGCAGAAGGAACGAGAAGAGAGACUUGGGUUUCAGUGGACUGUCUUGAAUUAUCAGGAGAUUUCAAUAUCAGGAGACCUAGCCAGGUACAUCCAGGCCCAAUUAAGGGACUAUCCUACUCCUAAUAAACAUGGGCUCACAGGUUAUGAAGAAUCAAAGGGGGAAACAAGAAGGAUGGCUCAGCAGCUAAGCGCACUUGUUGCUCUUGCAGAGGGCCAGCACCCAUAUCAGAUGGCUCAUGGUAGCCUGUAACUAUAGCUCCUGGAGAUCUGACGCCAUCUUUUGACCUGUACAGGCACCCGUAUGCAUGUGCACAUACACUCACAGACACAUAAGCAUAAAUAAAAAU